GCAUGAGAAACCAAGUGCAUUCAAGAGAAGGGGAAGGAACAAGAGGGAGAUGACAACUUUUGAUGUUGUUUGCUGGUGCAGAAUCGGUAAAAGGACUUUUUCUACAUCAGGGAACUGGAGAACUGCUCAUUUGAUAUCAUCAUCUACAAAGGAAAGGAAGGUACUUAUGUAUAUCACUUUAUAUCACUUGAUAUCGGCAUAAACGUCCCCAAGGAUCUCACAUGGUCUGUACACACUGGCUGUGUGGUGAAAAAGGCACAACAGUGCCUCUUUCACCUCAGAUGGUUGAAGAAGUUUAGUAUGGGCCCCCAAAUCCUAGGAACUUUCUACAAGGGUACAACUGAGAGCAUCCUGACUGGCUGCA